CUACCGCUAUUGGAGUUCGAUUAAGCCAUGCGAGUCGAGAGUCUUAGGGACUCGGCGUACCGCUCAGUAACACGUGGGUAACCUGCCCUAUGCUGGGGAAUAACCUCGGGAAACUGAGAAUAAUGCCCCAUAGUCCACCAUGCCUGGAACGGUUGGUGGAUCAAAGCCCCGGCGGCAUAGGAUGGGCCUGCGGCGUAUCAGGUUGUAGGGGGUGUAACGUACCCUCUAGCCAUCAACGCGUACGGGUGUUGGGAGACAUAGCCCGGAGAUGGAUUCUGAGACACGAAUCCAGACCCUACGGGGUGCAGCAGGCGCGAAAACUUGGCAAUGCGAGAAAUCGUGACCAGGGAACUCCAAGUGGCUGGGGUAAGACCCAGUCUUUUCUUGACUCUUCAAAGGUCUUGGAAUAAGGGGUGGGUAAGGACGGUGCCAGCCGCCGCGGUAAUACCGGCGCCUCAAGUGGUAGUCGAUUUUAUUGGGCCUAAAACGUCCGUCGCCUGUUUGGUACAUUCGUGGGUAAAUCAAUCAGCUCAACUGAUUGAAUUCUGCGAGCACGGCCAGACUUGGGACCGGGAGAGGUGUGGGGUACGUUCAGGGUAAGGGGUUAAAAAUCCUGUCAUCCUAAACGGACCACCUGUUGCGAAGGCUCCACACUAGAACGGAUCCGACGGUCAGGGACGAAGCCUAAGGGCACGAACCGGAUUGGGAUACCCGGGGUAGUCCUAGGUGUAAACGCUGUGGACUUGGUGUUGGGGACUCUCC
rnacentral:rRNA from 1 species